rnacentral:rRNA from 1 species
AUCUGUCUUGUAAUUGGAAUGAGUAGAAUUUAAAUCCCUUUACGAGUACCAAUUGGAGGGCAAGUCUGGUGCCAGCAGCCGCGGUAAUUCCAGCUCCAAUAGCGUAUAUUAAAGUUGUUGCGGUUAAAAAGCUCGUAGUUGGAUUUCUGCCAAGGAUGACCGGUCCGCCCUCUGGGUGAGUAUCUGGCUCGGCCUGGGCAUCUUCUUGGAGAACGUAGCUGCACUUGACUGUGUGGUGCGGUAUCCAGGACUUUUACUUUGAGGAAAUUAGAGUGUUUCAAGCAGGCUUUCGCCUUGAAUAUAUUAGCAUGGAAUAAUAAGAUAGGACUUCGGAACUAUUUUGUUGAUUUGCGUUACGAAGUAAUGAUUAAUAGGGACAGUUGGGGGUAUUCGUAUUUCGUUGUCAGAGGUGAAAUUCUUGGAUUUCCGAAAGACGAACUACUGCGAAAGCAUUUACCAAGGAUGUUUUCAUUAAUCAAGACCGAAAGUUAGGGGAUCGAAGAUGAUUAGAUACCAUCGUAGUCUUAACCAUAAACUAUGCCGACUCAGGAUUCGCGGUU